GCAAGAUGAACAGGAUAAAUGCACAAAGUUUAGACGUGGGAGACAGCUAGUUCACUGUGAGGUUCAGUGGAAGGUACGUGGCUGGACAGGCGACGUUAGAGAAAAGUUUAUGUAGCCUACUUAUUUCCCAAUGACCCCCCACAAACACACACACGUGUUUACACACCUUCCGAUCGUGACAACAUGUGCAAUAAAUGCCAACUUUCCCUGCCAGCAAGUCAGAGAGUGAUCUCAAUAUCAUGGAGUCAGUCUGGGAUUACACAAAGAGAAAGAAGACACCAAGACAGCCUAUCCACCGAAGAUCUGUGGCAAGUUCUCCAAGAUGCUUGGAACAACCUGCCUGCCAAAUGCAUUGAAAAACUGUGAAAGUGUACCGAGGAGGAUCUGUGCUAAGGGUGGUUGCACAGUACUGUAUGAUAUGGCUCUGAUCAUACACAUAAUGCUUUUAAUGCUGCAAAUAUUUUUCUUUUUUUCUUUUUUUUGUCUUCAUAAUGGGACCAGCAAGCAAAAUAAUGCCAAAUUGAAUUUGUAAUGUAAAAGCUGUUACAUGAUUACUUGGAAAAUAGCUCAAUUUUUAAAAAUGUUUUUAAUAGCAAAAGGGAAACUGUGCGCCAAGGCAACAGUCUUUCUAAAUAUGAUUUGGCAAAACAUGCACAUUUUGCACAAACAGAACCUGAUUAAUAAUUAUCAUUUUGUUUGUCAUCUGUCUCAGGUAGAGCCACAUAAUUGUAAAAAGUCAGAAGCACACAUAUCAACACUAGAUUGCUCAAAGCACGAGAGAAUGUAUAGAGAGGCUAGUUUAGUGCUCCCUGUCUUGCACUGAGAGCAAUGAUCUAUGCUAAAUAAUUUGCCUGCCUCCAUGUAGGUUUGCCUUUGGCUCUAUGAGUGCUUAAAAGAAGUUUUAAUUUUGCAAGCAAGGAGAUUUUCUAUCUUCUUUGUUGUUUUACUGUCUGGGCCAGUUGAACGCCUCACUGUGUUUCCCAUUGUAUUUGAUGUUGGAAGUAAUGGGGACAUGUUUUAGGAGAGAGCAAUUUAGGUCAGACACUGUCUUGCCAGUAUAGUUGCAUUAAAGCAGCUUUUCACGUGUUGAGUUGAAGUUACUGUAGGUGGUCACGGUUAUCCAUCCAAUAGAUCAUGUUUAUUGAAUGGGGUAUGUUGGGAUGGCAGAGCAAUAAACAUGUCUACUCAGUUUACAAAAUAAUUAGUUUUGCAUGCAUACACCUCUCUCUCUCUGUCUCUCUCUCUGUCUCUCUCUCUCUCUCUCUUCCCCACACACUGACUGUACCCUGCCAUAAGAGAUUUUUCUGGAAAUGAAGAAGGAAUAAAGGCAUCACUUUCCUUACGUUA